rnacentral:rRNA from 1 species
GUGCCAGCAGCCGCGGUAAUACGGAGGGGGUUAGCGUUGUUCGGAAUUACUGGGCGUAAAGCGUACGUAGGCGGAUCAGAAAGUAUGGGGUGAAAUCCCAGGGCUCAACCCUAAAAUGUCGAUCGAUACUGUUGUGACUAGGAUACGGUAGAGGUGAAUGGAAUUCCGAGUGUAGCGGUGAAAUGCGUAGAUAUUCGGAGGAACACCAAUUGCGAAGGCAGUUCACUGGACCGUGAUCGACGCUGAGGAGCGAAAGCUAGGGGAGCAAACCGGAUUAGAUA